UUACUUACCUAGCAGGUGAGAUACCAAGAUCAUGAGAGUGGUUUUCCCAGGGCAAGGCUUAUCCUUUGCACUCCAGAUGUGCUGAAUCCUGCAAUUUUCCCAAACCCUCAAAUGUGAGAAAUUUGACUGUAUAAUUUGUGGUUGGGUGGGGCGGGGGGAGACUGGGUUGAUGCUAUUCCCUGA
ensembl:snRNA U1 U1 spliceosomal RNA